GGCGGGCGUGGGGCAGCCUUCGGCCGCUAGUUGCCGCUCCUCAGCGCCCGUUCGAUGCGGGCGUUCGCCG
rnacentral:tRNA from 1 species